AAAUUGAAGAGUUUGAUCAUGGCUCAGAUUGAACGCUGGCGGCAGGCCUAACACAUGCAAGUCGAGCGGAAACGAGUUAUCAAAGCCUUCGGGUGGCGAUAACGGCGUCGAGCGGCGGACGGGUGAGUAAUGCCUAGGAAAUUGCCCUGAUGUGGGGGAUAACCAUUGGAAACGAUGGCUAAUACCGCAUAAUGCCUACGGGCCAAAGAGGGGGACCUUCGGGCCUCUCGCGUCAGGAUAUGCCUAGGUGGGAUUAGCUAGUUGGUGAGGUAAGGGCUCACCAAGGC
rnacentral:rRNA from 1 species